rnacentral:rRNA from 1 species
UACGUAGGGGGCAAGCGUUGUCCGGAAUCAUUGGGCGUAAAGAGCGUGUAGGCGGCCCGAUAAGUCCGCUGUGAAAGUCCAGGGCUCAACCCUGGGAUGCCGGUGGAUACUGUCGGGCUCGAGUCCGGAAGAGGAGUGUGGAAUUCCUGGUGUAGCGGUGAAAUGCGCAGAUAUCAGGAGGAACACCGGUGGCGAAGGCGGGUCUCUGGGCCGUAACUGACGCUGAGGAGCGAAAGCGUGGGGAGCGAACAGG